UUACGCCUACGGGGGGCAGCAGUGGGGAAUAUUGCACAAUGGGGGGAAACCCUGAUGCAGCAACGCCGCGUGAAGGAAGAAGUUUUUCGGUAUGUAAAGCUCUAUCAGCAGGGAAGAAAAUGACGGUACCUGACUAAGAAGCCCCGGCUAACUACGUGCCAGCAGCCGCGGUAAUACGUAGGGGGCAAGCGUUAUCCGGAUUUACUGGGUGUAAAGGGAGCGUAGACGGCAGUGCAAGUCUGAAGUGAAAGGCAAGGGCUCAACCCUUGGACUGCUUUGGAAACUGUGCUGCUGGAGUGUCGGAG
rnacentral:rRNA from 1 species